rnacentral:ncRNA from 2 species
CGCAGUCGCUAGGGGUGCCUCCGGAAGGGGGCUGAGACGGACGCGUGGCCGCGUCCGAUCCCUUUGAACCUGAACCGGUUAGUACCGGCGGAGGGAAGCGGUGUGGGCGCUCC